rnacentral:misc_RNA from 1 species
GGAGCGGCUCGCAGCAGCAAUGCGUGAUGGCGGCGCCACCCUACAUCGCCCAGUGGAUCGGCGAGCAUCCGAAAUGGAACGCCGUGCGGUGGCGUUGCGAGUAUCCACACCCAAGGGACAAGGCCGAUGCGCGCGGACCAGCGCGCGUGGCGUGACGCCUUCCCGAANNGGGAUUUUGAAUAAGCGCUCGUGAAGGCGUGGGCGUCCCGUUCUCCAUCGGACCCUAUAAGUUGAACGUCGCGACGCGGCGCAACUCACUUGUCGCAAUCCUUCAGGUCCUUGUCAGCGAUCGAGAACACGGCGUCGGCUUUGAUCUCGAUGUUGCGGGCGAAGCAUGUGCGGUCGUUGCGGUAGCCAAUCCUGGCGUCAUAGUGCCCCGGCUCAAUCCCGGUGAUGCGCAGUCGCUCGUCAUGGUCCACUUCCUUGUCCCUGUCGUUCAGGGUCUGAUUAGUCCCCCAGGCAUCCUUUCCGNNNGACAGCUGGAAACUGACGACCGUGGCUGUAGUCAGAUUCCAGAACCGAAUGCCUUUGCCCUGCGCGAUGAGUUCAGCGGAUCCCGCGAGCAGCAGGGCGGCUAAAGCCAGUAUCCAUCGCAUCAUUGCGCAUCCUCGCUCUGGGCAACCGAACGCUGAGCUGUCACUUUCUCAUCAGACGGUCGCGAUUUUUCGCCUNCGAAGUUCUUGGCCUGGUCGAGGCCGAUCGUCGCGCCAAGCUUCGCCGAAGCCAGAUCGGC